rnacentral:lncRNA from 1 species
CUAUGUUCUAUUUUUAGCCAUGGCGGCCAUCUUGGAUGGUUGGCCGGGUCACCGGACACAUUUUUUAAACAAGAUACCCCAAAGAUGGUUGUGGCCAAGUUUGGAUUGAUUUGGCCAAGUAGUUUCAGAGGAGAAGAUGUAUAAGAUUACUAAGAUUUACGAAAAAUGGUUAAAAAUUGACUAUUAAGGGCAAUAACUCCUAAAGAGGUCAACUGACCAUUUCGGUCAUGUUGACUUAUUUGUAAAAAUCUUUUUUUGCUGAACAUUAUUGCUGUUUACAGUUUAUCUCUAUCUAUAAUAAUAUUCAAGAUAAUAACCAAAAACAGCAAAAUUUCAUUAAAAUUACUUAUUCUGGGGCAGCAACCCAAAACCGGGUUGUCCAAUUCAUCUGAAAAUUUCAGGGCAGGUAGAUCUUGACCUGAUAAACAAAUUUACCUCAUGUCAGAUUUACUCUAAAUGCUUUGGUUUUUGAGUUAUAAGCCAAAAACUGCAUUUUACCCCAAGGUUCUAUUUUUAGCCAUGGCGGCCAUCUUGAUUGGAUGGCUGGGUCACUGGACACAUUUUUCAAACUACAUACCCCAAAGAUGGUUGUGGCCAAGUUUGGAUUGAUUUGGCCAAGUAGUUUCAGAGGAGAAGAUUUUUGUAAAAGAUUACUAAGAUUUAUGAAAAAUGGUUAAAAAUUGACUAUAAAGGGCAAUAACUCCUAAAGGGGUCAACUGACCAUUUCGGUCAUGUUGACUUAUUUGUAAAUAUUACUUUGCUGAACAUUAUUGCUGUUUACAGUUUAUCUCUAUCUAUAAUAAUAUUCAAGAU